rnacentral:ncRNA from 1 species
GGUUAAGCGACUAAGCGUACACGGUGGAUGCCCUGGCAGUCAGAGGCGAUGAAGGACGUGCUAAUCUGCGAAAAGCGUCGGUAAGGUGAUAUGAACCGUUACAGCCGGCGAUGUCCGAAUGGGGAAACCCAGUGCAAUUCGUUGCACUAUCGUUAACUGAAUACAUAGGUUAACGAGGCGAACCGGGGGAACUGAAACAUCUAAGUACCCCGAGGAAAAGAAAUCAACCGAGAUUCCCCCAGUAGCGGCGAGCGAACGGGGAGCAGCCCAGAGUCUGAAUCAGCUUGUGUGUUAGUGGAACGGUCUGGAAAGUCCGACGGUACAGGGUGAUAGUCCCGUACACCAAAAUGCACAGGUUGUGAACUCGAAGAGUAGGGCGGGACACGUGGUAUCCUGUCUGAAUAUGGGGGGACCAUCCUCCAAGGCUAAAUACUCCUGACUGAC